rnacentral:tRNA from 1 species
GCCCCCGUAGCUCAGUAGGACAGAGCAGCGGUUUCCUAAACCGCGGGUCGCAGGUUCGAAUCCUGCCGGGGGUACCA